rnacentral:rRNA from 1 species
GAUGAACGCUGGCGGCGUGCCUAAUACAUGCAAGUCGAGCGAACGGACGAGAAGCUUGCUUCUCUGAUGUUAGCGGCGGACGGGUGAGUAACACGUGGAUAACCUACCUAUAAGACUGGGAUAACUUCGGGAAACCGGAGCUAAUACCGGAUAAUAUUUUGAACCGCAUGGUUCAAAAGUGAAAGACGGUUUUGCUGUCACUUCUAGAUGGAUCCGCGCUGCAUUAGCUAGUUGGUAAGGUAACGGCUUACCAAGGCAACGAUGCGUAGCCGACCUGAGAGGGUGAUCGGCCACACUGGAACUGAGACACGGUCCAGACUCCUACGGGAGGCAGCAGUAGGGAAUCUUCCGCAAUGGGCGAAAGCCUGACGGAGCAACGCCGCGUGAGUGAUGAAGGUCUUCGGAUCGUAAAACUCUGUUAUUAGGGAAGAACAUAUGUGUAAGUAACUGUGCACAUCUUGACGGUACCUAAUCAGAAAGCCACGGCUAACUACGUG